ACUUGGCAUGGUUGUGCAUGUCUGUGGUCCCAGUUACUUAGGAGGCUGAGGUGGGAGGAUCCCUUGAGCCCAGGAUGUUGAGGUUGUAGUGAGUCGUGAUGGUGCCACUGCACUCCAGCCUGGGUAACAGAGUGAGACUCCAUUGACAAAACAAAAUACAAAAAUAAAAUAAAAUAAAAUAAAACUGAAUCUAAGGUUUUUUUUUUUUUUUUUUUUUUGAGACGGAGUCUCACUCUGUCACCCAGGCUGGAGUGCAGUGGCACAAUCACGACUCACUACAACCUCAACAUCCUGGGCUCAAGGGAUCCUCCCACCUCAG
rnacentral:SRP_RNA from 1 species